rnacentral:rRNA from 1 species
CUACGGGGUGCUGCAGUGAGGAAUAUUGCACAAUGGGGGAAACCCUGACGCAGCAACGCCGCGUGAGUGAUGAAGGCCUUCGGGUCGUAAAACUCUGUCAAGUGGGAAGAACCUAUGUAAGGUUAAUACCCUUAUGUACUGACGGUACCACUGAAGGAAGCACCGGCUAACUCCGUGCCAGCAGCCGCGGUAAUACGGAGGGUGCAAGCGUUAUUCGGAAUUAUUGGGCGUAAAGGGCGCGCAGGCGGUUUUGUAAGUCAGAUGUGAAAGCCCGGGGCUUAACCUCGGAAGUGCAUUUGAUACUGCAAGACUUGAGUAUGGGAGGGGGAAGUGGAAUUCCUGGUGUAGAGGUGAAAUUCGUAGAUAUCAGGAGGAACACCAGUGGCGAAGGCGACUUCCUGGACCAAUACUGACGCUGAGGCGCGAAGGCGUGGGGAGCAAACAGGAUUAGAUACCCCCGUAGUC